CAGCUCAGAACUGGUACGG
rnacentral:snRNA from 1 species